GGAAGGGUGCAGGAGCGGUUUAACUGGCAGUCCUGGAAAGACUGUGUACCGGCAACGGUACCGAGAGUUCGAAUCUCUCCCCUUCCGCCA
rnacentral:tRNA from 1 species